rnacentral:tRNA from 33 species
UGCCGGGUGGACAAAUUGGUAAAGUCGGAUGCCUCUGAAGCAUCAGUUUGUAGCUUCAAAGCCUACCCCGGCAU